AUACGUAGGUGGCAAGCGUUGUCCGGAUUUACUGGGUGUAAAGGGGGCGCAGGCGGGAAGCUAAGUUGGAUGUGAAAUACCGGGGCUCAACUCCGGAGCUGCAUCCAAAACUGGUUUUCUUGAGUGGAGUAGAGGCAAGCGGAAUUCCGAGUGUAGCGGUGAAAUGCGUAGAUAUUCGGAGGAACACCAGUGGCGAAGGCGGCUUGCUGGGCACUAACGGACGCUGAGGCCCGAAAGCGUGGGGAGCAAACAGGAUUAGAUACCCGGGUAGUCCACGCCGUAAACGAUGAUUCCUAGGUGUGGGGGGUCUGACCCCUUCCGUGCCGCAGUUAACGCAAUAAGUAAUCCACCUGGGGAGUACGGCCGCAAGGCUGAAACUCAAAUGAAUUGACGGGG
rnacentral:rRNA from 1 species